CAAGACUGCGAGCCACAUGGCAGAGCUGUUCUCCUGGAUUCCUUACCCUGCUGCUCUCCACCCAGGUGCCCUUUCCUAAUAAAAUCUCUAACUUUGUCAGUACAUGUGUCUCCUUGGACAAUUCAUUUCUGAGUGUUAGACAAGAGCCCUGUUUCGGGCCCUGGAAGGGGUUCCCCCUUCCUGCAACAGAAUGGCAAAGGAAGAGAUGAAUUUUUUAAUGCAUAGCAAGCAUCUUAAUAUUCUCUCUCUCCAUGGCUGCCCCCUUAUUAUUCUGUGCAUGGAUGCCAGCUUUUCCCACCAGUUCUGUCUCUUCCACCCUGAAACAUACCCUGUACACAGACUUUCUGUCCAGUAGUCCCUGUUCCCUCUCCUGCUCUUUAUUAUACAAAUCCAUCAGCCCUGCUUUGUUUUUCCCUUUGCUUUACUAAAUAUCCAAACUCCCUGCAUACUAUGCAGUCUCUGAUACUAGAUGAUUUUUUUCUCUAAAAUUGCAGGACCACAGUGGUCUUUUCAUCUGACUUCAUCCACUGUAUGAAUUCCAUCCAACUGGUGGUCUCAGACCAGGUAAGAGGAUGACCCUGAAAGUCACUGUAUCUAUUCUUAUGGUCAGGGCCCAUAACCCAGGAAACCUUUGUGGUCAGGCCAGGACUCAUAUCUGACACUUCUCUGUCUGCAGCUCUUUUUGUCUCAGAGAGAUGUCCAGACAUGAAUACAUAAGCCAUGAGCAUAGUGUGCAUAUGAUGAAAAAACAGUAUUAAAGUCCAGCCAAGUGAUCAUUCCACAUCACCCCCCGCACACUCUGCCUUGCAUCCAGCCCUUCAGACCUGCUGUUCCAUCCACUUAAAAACUCGUACGUCCUUGCCUACCUUCCCUGUUCUAUCUGUUCUUGACCUGCUUGACUACUCCUCCUUCCUCAGGGCUCAGCUUACACCUCAUCCUCCAGGAUGGUCCUGGCCACUUGGAAAUAUGUAUCUCUGCCUCGGGCUCCCUGGGACUUGUAAGUUUAUGCUUCUUCCCCGUUUUAGCCUGUAUCCCACAAGAGCCCAGGCAUCCUAGCUAUUUUUGCAGCCUGUUCCUUUGGGGCCUAACAUAUAGUAGAGCCUCAAAAAAUAUUUUGAAGGAAUAUUAAAAAGGAGAUUCCUAAAAAUUCCUGAUUGAGUACAUUAAAAGGGAGAAGGGAAAGCAGAGCUCAGCCUUCUACACUUGGAUGUGUGCAUUGCCUCUGCAGCUUCAUUCCUUCGAAGAUGAACGCUCCUAUCUUCUGGAUGCUGAGUUGCUGCGGGGCAAAAUUUCACUCAAAGCUCCCUGUUAGUGCCUGUGGCUGUGAUCAGGUACAAUCAAGUGUGCUUAUUGUAAACAGGAUCCCAGUGGACAGAGGUUUGCAAAGGCAUACAUUCAAAAGGUGAAAUUCAUCAUCCAGCUUCCAAGCUUAGAACCCAGGUCUGCUGGGGGAAGUGAUGAGAUGUCAAGUGAGAACAGGAGGUCCUUCUGACAUGCUGUUUGAACUCCAGGCAGGACACGGUUCCAUUUACUCUGCCAGUGGAACACCACAUUGCUUCCUCUUGCUCUCUUCCAACAGAGACGAUCUAGGAAAGGGCAAGGACCAAGUAAGUAAUCAAGCCUUUGGAUCUGAUCCACAUGACAUCCUACCUCUGAGCCCCAGAGAGAUUCAAAGUUGGCAGUUCUGGGGCCAGUCCAUAUUUACACCAUUUCCUGAUGGCCCCUUCUGACUGGUCUUUGGCAAGUACAAAAGAAAGUUUACUUGGGGACAGCCCCGGUGGUCCAGGAGUUAAGACUCGGCACUUCCUCUGCAGGGAGCACAGGUUCAAUACCUGGUCAGGGGACUGAGAUCCCACACGCCUCACAGUGCAGCCAAAAAAAAAAGUUGACUUUCCUCUUUUAAAAACUAUUUAUGUUUCCGACACUAUGUCUAAUACCUUUAACGUCUUUUAAUAAUUAUUGUUGUCUAGUUGCUAAGUUGUGUUCAACUCUUUGUGACCCUAUGGAUGGUAGCCUACCAGGCUCCUCUAUCCAUGGCUCUUUCCAGGCAAGAAUACUGAAGUGGGUCGACAUUCACUUCUCCAGGGAAUCUUCCCGAUACAGGGAUCGAACCCGUGUCUCCUGCAUUGGCAGGCAGAUUCUUUACCACUGAGCCACCCAGGAAGCACCUCCUUUUAAUGAUUACACUUAUACAACUGAAGUAGUCUUUAGUUGUGGACCUGGUAGAAUGUCAGAGCUUUGGAUAAGUGUCUUCCUGGGCCGUGGGGGUCAGACCACAGCACUGAGGGUGAGGCUGGGGUGGUGCUUCCCCUGAAUGGAACGAAGGGCUUCAUUGCCAGCUGACUGUGAGGGAAAGAGAGAACCUUCUUCACAGUGAGGCUGGAGGGGGCUAGGGCCAAGAUUCUGAGGCAUGGAGAAAUUCCAGGGAUGGCUGUGCUGUCUGGCUGUGUCAGGGCAGUGAUCACGCAUGGCCCAUGAGGACACCAGUCUCAAGGAAGUAGAACGUGAAUGGUGCCCCGUAGAACUGUGCAACAAGAUGGCCCCAUGCCAAACAAGACAAAAACUGGCUCAGUGGGAGACCUGGGACAGACUUGGGUUUAUGCCUAAGUUGAGGGACCUGGCCAUAGUCAUGCUUGGGCUGACGUGGUAGAGAAGAAACCAUCUUUCUCCCAUUGCUGUAGUCAGACUGGGUGAAGACAGAGAGCAGGCAGUAAGACUAACAGCAGGAGUGGCCCCUGGGAUACAUGGUCAACAUGAAGCCAGCUCUUAUUUGUAGAAGAGGUGGCAGGUGUCCUGGGAAGUGGGUGAGUGAGGCAGAAAUUAUGUCUUUUGGUUUCAUAAGGUAGAUAUUACCUGUGAGCAACCAGACAUCUGACUGUGAUUAAUUAAUACGCUUCUUGGACAUCUCAGCAGUGGCCACAGGACUGGAAAAGGUCAGUUUUCAUUCCAAUCCCAAAGAAAGGCAAUGCCAAAGAAUGCUCAAACUACUGCACAAUUGCACUCAUCUCACA